rnacentral:tRNA from 1 species
AGCAGCUUGGCGCAGUGGAAGCGCGGUAUGUGAUUUCAACUCAUAACCCGGAGGUCAUCAGAUCGAAACUGAUAGCUGCUA